rnacentral:rRNA from 1 species
CUCGUAGUUGAACCUUGGGAUGGGUCGCCCGGUUCGCCUUCGGUGAGCACCGGCCGGCUUGUCUCUUCUGUCGGCGAUAUGCUCCUGGCCUUAACUGGCCGGUUCGUGCCUCCGGUGCUGUUACUUUGAAGAAAUUAGAAUGCUCAAAGCAAGCCUACGCUCUGUAUAUAUUAGCAUGGGAUAACAUCAUAGGAUUUCGAUCCUAUUGUGUUGGCCUUCGGGAUCGGAGUAAUGAUUAAUGAUACCACUCAAAUUACCCUAAGGAGUUUUACUCUCAUCAAAAG